GAUAUAGUUGAAAUCUUCAUAGAAGACAAUUCGAAAUAAAUGGAGAACUUAAAUGUCACGAACAGCGAGAAGAAUUGACUGUUGAGACCAUUCCAGGCACAAAGCAGUAGCUAAGGUUGAAAAGAUCAAUAUCUUGGUCCACUGAUGGAACCAUACAUCACAAAUCUGCUCAGUGACCAGCAUCUAUCUAAACCCAUUUCACAGGAUAUUCAGAAAAUUUAAGCUUGAAGAACUAUCUUUGCAUUUCCUACAAGGCGGGGCUAGUGGUAAUGAAAUCCCUCAUGUCCUGGAAAAGAAUUCUCUCACGUUAACUUUUGAAAGACAAUUUCACCUCCUAUUGCAAUCUUGAUUGACUAUGAGUAUGCUUUGAAACAAGCUGUCGACUUUAUUCCUGUGUAUCUUGCACAGGCUGAACAAAACAUAUUUAUAAAUUGGCAUGUGAGAAAGGAGUAGUUUCCAUAUUAAGACUGGUUCCCUGUACCUUGG